rnacentral:rRNA from 1 species
GAUGAACGCUGGCGGCGUGCCUAAUACAUGCCAGUCGAGCGAACGGACGAGAAGCUUGCUUCUCUGAUGUUAGCGGCGGACGGGUGAGUAACACGUGGAUAACCUACCUAUAAGACCGGGAUAACUUCGGGAAACCGGAGCUAAUACCGGAUGAUAUUUUGAACCGCAUGGUUCAAAAGUGAAAGACGGUCUUGCUGUCACUUAUAGAUGGAUCCGCGCUGCAUUAGCUAGUUGGUAAGGUAACGGCUUACCAAGGCAACGAUGCAUAGCCGACCUGAGAGGGUGAUCGGCCACACUGGAACUGAGACACGGUCCAGACUCCUACGGGAGGCAGCAGUAGGGAAUCUUCCGCAAUGGGCGAAAGCCUGACGGAGCAACGCCGCGUGAGUGAUGAAGGUCUUCGGAUCGUAAAACUCUGUUAUUAGGGAAGAACAUAUGUGUAAGUAACUGUGCACAUCUUGACGGUACCUAAUCAGAAAGCCACGGCUAACUACGUG